UAGUCAUAUGCUUGUCUCAAAGAUUAAGCCAUGCAUGUCUAAGUAUACGCAAAUUAUACUGUGAAACUGCGAAUGGCUCAUUAAAUCAGUUAUAGUUUAUUUGAUGUUUCUUGCUACAUGGAUAACUGUGGUAAUUCUAGAGCUAAUACAUGCGUAAAAAGCCCCGACUUCUGGAAGGGGUGUAUUUAUUAGAUAAAAACCAUCCUCCUCGGAGUUUGGUGAUUCAUAAUAACUUCUCGAAUCGCACGGCCUUGUGCUGGCGAUGCUUCAUUCAAAUAUCUGCCCUAUCAACUGUCGAUGGUAGGAUAGAGGCCUACCAUGGUUGCAACGGGUAACGGGGAAUAAGGGUUCGAUUCCGGAGAGGGAGCCUGAGAAACGGCUACCACAUCCAAGGAAGGCAGCAGGCGCGCAAAUUACCCAAUCCCGACACGGGGAGGUAGUGACAAUAAAUAACAAUACCGGGCCUUUGGUCUGGUAAAUGGAAUGA
rnacentral:rRNA from 1 species